rnacentral:lncRNA from 1 species
GAGAAAAGCACAGGCGGAGAAAAGACGAUUUUUCUUACAGGGCUAAAAUGCAGGGGACUUCCUUAUCCUGCCGACUUAGAGAAGCCCGGCCCCUUGUGAUCCAUUGCUGAAAGCCGCCUCGUGUUUGAAAAACGGAUCCGCUCCCAACUUCAGUGGAAGGACAUGACAUGUAGCACGAGGAAAGAUUGUGGCAUAUUACUGAACUAAGCAACCUAGUGACGUGUCUCUUCUGACUGGGGCUUGCCCACAGAGACAACUGUGACAUAGCACUGAGCCCAGGACCCAGGUGAUGUGACUCUGCUGCCUGUUUCCAACAUUCAUGAGAGGAUGGUAACUAUCCCUUGCCAAGAACUCAGGUGAUUUGACUGUCCUGCCUUGUUGCUGCCCUCAGAGAAGAUUGUGAUAUAUCUUCAGCCCCAAACCCAGUUUUUGCCCACAGGGGAGAUUGUGACAUAUCACUGGGCCUCAAACUAAGGUGAAGUUACACUUUCAUUUUCGAACUGUACUCAGAAGGCAUCGUGACAUAUUCCUGGGCCCAGCACCAAGGUGAUGUGAGUCUCCUGCCUGCACUUUGCCCACAAAUGGCAUUGUAACAUAUCUUUAGACCUAUCAACUACUUGAUAUGACUUAUUUUUUUAAAGUGAA